rnacentral:rRNA from 1 species
CCUACGGGAGGCUGCAGUGGGGAAUAUUGGACAAUGGGCGAAAGCCUGAUCCAGCCAUGCCGCGUGUGUGAAGAAGGCCUUCGGGUUGUAAAGCACUUUCAGUGGGGAAGAAAGCCUUGGGGCUAAUACCCUCGAGGAAGGACAUCACCCACAGAAGAAGCACCGGCUAACUCCGUGCCAGCAGCCGCGGUAAUACGGAGGGUGCGAGCGUUAAUCGGAAUUCCUGGGCGUAAAGCGCGCGUAGGCGGUCUGAUAAGCCGGUUGUGAAAGCCCCGGGCCCAACCUGGGAACGGCAUCCGGAACUGUCAGGCUAGAGUGCAGGAGAGGAAGGUAGAAUUCCCGGUGUAGCGGUGAAAUGCGUAGAGAUCGGGAGGAAUACCAGUGGCGAAGGCGGCCUUCUGGACUGACACUGACGCUGAGGUGCGAAAGCGUGGGUAGCAAACAGGAUUAGAUACCCUAGUAGUC